rnacentral:rRNA from 1 species
UAGUAUUCAAUUGUCAGAGGUGAAAUNCUUGGAUUUAUUGAAGACUAACUACUGCGAAAACAUUUGCCAAGGAUGUUUUCAUUAAUCAAGAACGAAAGUUAGGGGAUCGAAGACGAUCAGAUACCGUCGUAGUCUUAACCAUAAACUAUGCCGACUAGGGAUCGGAUGAUGUUAAUUUUUUAAUGACUCA